CCUACGGGUGGCAGCAGUCGAGAAUCAUUCACAAUGGGGGAAACCCUGAUGGUGCGACGCCGCGUGGGGGAAUGAAGGUCUUCGGAUUGUAAACCCCUGUCAUGUGGGAGCAAAUUAAAAAGAUAGUACCACAAGAGGAAGAGACGGCUAACUCUGUGCAAGCAGCCGCGGUAAUACGGAGGUCUCAAGCGUUGUUCGGAAUCACUGGGCGUAAAGCGUGCGUAGGCUGUUUCGUAAGUCGUGGGUGAAAGGCGGGGGCUCAAACCGCGGACGGCACAUGAUACUGCGAGACUAGAGUAAUGGUGGGGGAAGCGGAAUGCUCGGUGUAGCAGUGAAAGGCGUAGAGAU
rnacentral:rRNA from 1 species